GCGCCUGUAGCUCAGUGGAUAGAGCAUUCGCCUCCUAAGCGAAGGGUCGGACGUUCAAGUCGUCUCAGGCGUGCCA
rnacentral:tRNA from 1 species